rfam:Eucalyptus grandis cultivar BRASTZ1 unplaced genomic scaffold scaffold_9, whole genome shotgun sequence.
AGUCCGUGAUGUGGGCAUCUCUUGAGAAACUCCUAGAAUCUUUCCCAUGCUUCAAACAAUGAUUCAUCAUUCAUUUGCAUAAAAUUAGUAACAUCAUCACGCAUUUU